AUUGAACGCUGGCGGCAGGCCUAACACAUGCAAGUCGAACGAGUGGCGGACGGGUGAGUAAUGUCUGGGAAACUGCCUGAUGGAGGGGGAUAACUACUGGAAACGGUAGCUAAUACCGCAUACCAUCAGAUGUGCCCAGAUGGGAUUAGCUAGUAGGUGGGGUAACGGCUCACCUAGGCGACGAUCCCUAGCUGGGCUGAGAGGAUUACCAGCAACACGGGAACGGAGACAAGGUCCAGACUCCGAAGGGAGGCAGCAGGGGGGAAUAUUGAAGAAGGGGCGCAAGCCUGAUGCAGCCAUGCCGCGUGUAUGAAGAAGGCCUUCGGGUUGGAAAGUACUUUCAGCGGGGAGGCGUUACCCGCAGAAGAAGCACCGGCUAACUCCGUGCCAGCCGCCGCGGUAUAC
rnacentral:rRNA from 1 species